AUUGAUUAAGAAGACGAAGACGAAGAAGAAGAAGAACCA
rnacentral:sRNA from 1 species